UUCUAGGGUAGCCUAUCUAAAGGACAGGG
rnacentral:piRNA from 1 species